GGGGCCGAGAGAAGAGCUGCCACAUUACGUACCCUCACCCUUACCCUCUCCUCAAACCUUAACAAGGGGGCUGGGUUUGGGACAGAACUGGGACUCCCCGUGCUACAGCAGGGUGCUGUUUAAGACCAGGACAGCCCUACAGACCUCCAGCCGGUCAUCCACUGUCCCGCAAGCUUGCCCACAGCAGUCAGCACGGAUGCCUGUUGGCUGAUGGCUGACCUUCAAGUGGCCCACAAAAUGGAGGAAGAUUUAAAGAACCAAGCUGCAGUACUACGCCCAUCCCCAACUGCCACGCCCAUCCCCACCCACCACACCUGCCCCUGACCAUCCCCGCCCACCCCUCCUGUCCCCGCCAAUUCCCACCUGCCACGCCCAUCCCCACUGUGCCACGCCCUCACCUGGCCCGCUGGCAUCGCCGCUGCUGAGGAACCCCAGGGUGCCCACGCGGUACCCCACCGUCACCACAAUGACUUUCCCCCGGUCAGCAAUCUCCUCCCCGCUGUACAGGUAGUUGUCCAGAAAGUUGGCACCCAUGGACCCCCCGACCAAAAAGCCAC